UAGAGUUUGAUUCAUGGCUCAGAGUGAACGCUGGCGGCGUGCCUAAUACAUGCAAGUCGAACGAUGAAGCUUCUAGCUUGCUAGAAGUGGAUUAGUGGCGUACGGGUGAGUAACGCAUAGGUCAUGUGCCUCUUAGUUUGGGAUAGCCAUUGGAAACGAUGAUUAAUACCAGAUACUCCCUACGGGGGAAAGAUUUAUCGCUAAGAGAUCAGCCUAUGUCCUAUCAGCUUGUUGGUAAGGUAAUGGCUUACCAAGGCUAUGACGGGUAUCCGGCCUGAGAGGGUGAACGGACACACUGGAACUGAGACACGGUCCAGACUCCUACGGGAGGCAGCAGUAGGGAAUAUUGCUCAAUGGGGGAAACCCUGAAGCAGCAACGCCGCGUGGAGGAUGAAGGUUUUAGGAUUGUAAACUCCUUUUGUUAGAGAAGAUAAUGACGGUAUCUAACGAAUAAGCACCGGCUAACUCCGUGCCAGCAGCCGCGGUAAUACGGAGGGUGCAAGCGUUACUCGGAAUCACUGGGCGUAAAGAGCGCGUAGGCGGGAUAGUCAGUCAGGUGUGAAAUCCUAUGGCUUAACCAUAGAACUGCAUUUGAAACUACUAUUCUAGAGUGUGGGAGAGGUAGGUGGAAUUCUUGGUGUAGGGGUAAAAUCCGUAGAGAUCAAGAGGAAUACUCAUUGCGAAGGCGACUUGCUGGAACAUUACUGACGCUGAUUGCGCGAAAGCGUGGGGAGCAAACAGGAUUAGAUACCCUGGUAGUCCACGCCCUAAACGAUGGAUGCUAGUUGUUGGAGGGCUUAGUCUCUCCAGUAAUGCAGCUAACGCAUUAAGCAUCCCGCCUGGGGAGUACGGUCGCAAGAUUAAAACUCAAAGGAAUAGACGGGGACCCGCACAAGCGGUGGAGCAUGUGGUUUAAUUCGAAGAUACACGAAGAACCUUACCUAGGCUUGACAUUGAGAGAAUCCGCUAGAGAUAGUGGAGUGUCUGGCUUGCUAGACCUUGAAAACAGGUGCUGCACGGCUGUCGUCAGCUCGUGUCGUGAGAUGUUGGGUUAAGUCCCGCAACGAGCGCAACCCCCUUUCUUAGUUGCUAACAGGUCAUGCUGAGAACUCUAAGGAUACUGCCUCCGUAAGGAGGAGGAAGGUGGGGACGACGUCAAGUCAUCAUGGCCCUUACGCCUAGGGCUACACACGUGCUACAAUGGGGUGCACAAAGAGAAGCAAUACUGCGAAGUGGAGCCAAUCUUCAAAACGCCUCUCAGUUCGGAUUGUAGGCUGCAACUCGCCUGCAUGAAGCUGGAAUCGCUAGUAAUCGCAAAUCAGCCAUGUUGCGGUGAAUACGUUCCCGGGUCUUUGUACUCACCGCCCGUCACACCAUGGGAGUUGUGUUUGCCUUAAGUCAGGAUGCUAAAUAGCUACUGCCCACGGCACACACAGCGACUGGGGUGAAGUCGUAACAAGGUAACCGUA
rnacentral:rRNA from 1 species